rnacentral:tRNA from 1 species
UAGAAGGUAGUGUAUUGGGGCACGAAGGGUUUUGAUCCCUUUAGGAUAGGUUCAAAUCUUAUCUUUCUAA